UACGAAGGGGGCUAGCGUUGCUCGGAAUCACUGGGCGUAAAGCGCACGUAGGCGGAUCGCUAAGUCAGGGGUGAAAUCCCGGAGCUCAACUCCAGAACUGCCUUUGAUACUGGCAAUCUCGAGUCCGGGAGAGGUGAGUGGAACUGCGAGUGUAGAGGUGAAAUUCGUAGAUAUUCGCAAGAACACCAGUGGCGAAGGCGGCUCACUGGCCCGGUACUGACGCUGAGGCACGAAAGCGUGGGGAGCAAACAGG
rnacentral:rRNA from 1 species